UACGAAGGGGGCUAGCGUUGUUCGGAAUUACUGGGCGUAAAGCGCACGUAGGCGGGUCGUUAAGUCAGGGGUGAAAUCCCGGAGCUCAACUCCGGAACUGCCUUUGAUACUGGCGACCUAGAGAUCGAGAGAGGUGAGUGGAAUUCCGAGUGUAGAGGUGAAAUUCGUAGAUAUUCGGAAGAACACCAGUGGCGAAGGCGGCUCACUGGCUCGAUACUGACGCUGAUGCGCGAAAGCCAGGGGAGCGAACGGG
rnacentral:rRNA from 1 species